AGAGUUUGAUCAUGGCUCAGAACGAACGCUGGCGGCGUGGAUAAGACAUGCAAGUCGAACGCUAAUUAGAAGGUAGCAAUAUUUUCUAGUUGGAGUGGCGCAAGGGUGCGUAACACGUGGGUAAUCUGCCGUGAAGCCUGGGAUAACUCGCUGAAAGGCGAGCUAAUACCGGAUGUGACUGUUGGGAGGCAUCUUCCGACAUUGGAAGCUGGGGACCGAAAGGCCUGGCGCUUCACGAUGAGCCUGCGGCCUAUCAGCUAGUUGGUGAGGUAACGGCUCACCAAGGCAAAGACGGGUAGCUGGUCUGAGAGGACGACCAGCCACACUGGAACUGAGACACGGUCCAGACACCUACGGGUGGCAGCAGUCGAGAAUUUUUCACAAUGGGCGCAAGCCUGAUGGAGCGACGCCGCGUGGGGGAUGAAGGGUUUCGAUCCGUAAACCCCUGUCAUUUGCGAACAAACCUUGAGAGAUAACACCUUUCAAGCUGAUUGUAGUGAAAGAGGAAGGGACGGCUAACUCUGUGCCAGCAGCCGCGGUAAUAC
rnacentral:rRNA from 1 species